AGUGAACGCUGGCGGUAGGCCUAACACAUGCAAGUCGAACGGCAGCACAGUAAGAGCUUGCUCUUACGGGUGGCGAGUGGCGGACGGGUGAGGAAUACAUCGGAAUCUACUUUUUCGUGGGGGAUAACGUAGGGAAACUUACGCUAAUACCGCAUACGACCUACGGGUGAAAGCAGGGGAUCUUCGGACCUUGCGCGAUUGAAUGAGCCGAUGUCGGAUUAGCUAGUUGGCGGGGUAAAGGCCCACCAAGGCGACGAUCCGUAGCUGGUCUGAGAGGAUGAUCAGCCACACUGGAACUAAGCCACGGUCCAGACUCCUACGAGAGGCAGCAGUGGGGAAUAUUGGACAAUGGGCGCAAGCCUGGUCCGGCCAUACCGCGUGGGUGAAGAAGGCCUUCGGGUUGUAAAGCCCUUUUGUUGGGAAAGAAAAGCAGCAGGUUAAUACCCCGCUGUUCUGACGGUACCCAAAGAAUAAGCACCGGCUAACUUCGUG
rnacentral:rRNA from 1 species